UUGGUUCAUUGUUGUAUGUCUGCGUGUCUGUAUGCCAGUAUCUUUAGUUGGAUUUUGGAUUUUUGGUUGAUUUGGAUUUUGCCUCUUUGUUUUGCCAUUGGGAAGUUUUCUGUUGUACAUUUAAAGUCAGUUUUUGUUGCUUUUUAAUUAGUUCAUUUUGAAUGAAUCAUUUUUGUUCUGCAUUUUGGUCUUCUUUUUGUUUAACUCCGGUACGUGACAAUCAAUGCUGGAUUUUUGUGAUCCUCAGGCCCUCUGGGAGCAUAGUGUUGGAAACGGGCUUGACUCUGAAGUGGAAAACACGGCAUGUGCUCAAAUACGCUUUAAGCCGCCAUAAAGAGGAAAACUUGUAAACUUGAUCCAGAAACAUUGGAGACUUCUCUGACUUCUUAUGAUGGACAGAGGUGAAGUGACAAGACUGUGCUGUCUUCAAAUUAAACAUUCAUCAAGGAAAUCAAGGAUACUGUGUCCACCUUUUAUAAGAG